GGGGGCCCGCACAAGCGGAGGAACAUGUGGUUUAAUUCGAUGAUACGCGAGGAACCUUACCCGGGCUCAAACGUUGCAGGAAGGGUGUCUGAAAGGAUGCCCGUCUACGGACCUGCGACGAGGUGCUGCAUGGUUGUCGUCAGCUCGUGCCGUGAGGUGUCGGCUUAAGUGCCAUAACGAGCGCAACCCCUACCGCCAGUUGCCAACAGGCAAAGCUGGGGACUCUGGCGGGACUGCCGGCGCAAGCUGCGAGGAAGGCGGGGAUGACGUCAAAUCAGCACGGCCCUUACGUCCGGGGCGACACACGUGUUACAAUGGCAGGUACAGCGGGAAGCCACCUGGCGACAGGGAGCGGAACCCGAAAGCCUGUCUCAGUUCGGAUUGGAGUCUGCAACCCGACUCCAUGAAGCUGGAUUCGCUAGUAAUCGCGCAUCAGCCACGGCGCGGUGAAUACGUUCCCGGGCCUUGUACACACCGCCCGUCAAGCCAUGGGAGUCGGGAGUGCCUGAAGUGCGUGAGCGCGAGCAGCGCCCUAGGGCAAAACCGAUGACUGGGGCUAAGUCGUAACAAGGUAGCCGU
rnacentral:rRNA from 1 species